rnacentral:rRNA from 1 species
GGAGGGGACUAGCGUUGUUCGGAAUUACUGGGCGUAAAGCGCGCGUAGGCGGAUUUGCAAGUCGGGGGUGAAAUCCCGAGGCUCAACCUCGGAACUGCCUUCGAUACUGCAAAUCUCGAGUCCGGAAGAGGUGAGUGGAAUUCCUAGUGUAGAGGUGAAAUUCGUAGAUAUUAGGAAGAACACCAGUGGCGAAGGCGGCUCACUGGUCCGGUACUGACGCUGAGGCGCGAAAGCGUGGGGAGCAAACAGGAUUAGAUACCCUGGUAGUCCACGCCGUAAACUAUGGGUGCUAGCCGUCGGGGAGCAUGCUCUUCGGUGGCGCAGCAAACGCAUUAAGCACCCCGCCUGGGGAGUACGGUCGCAAGAUUA